rnacentral:rRNA from 1 species
UACGUAGGGUGCAAGCGUUGUCCGGAAUUAUUGGGCGUAAAGAGCUCGUAGGCGGCUUGUCGCGUCGGAUGUGAAAGCCCGGGGCUUAACCCCGGGUCUGCAGCCGAUACGGGCAGGCUAGAGUUCGGUAGGGGAGACUGGAAUUCCUGGUGUAGCGGUGAAAUGCGCAGAUAUCAGGAGGAACACCGGUGGCGAAGGCGGCAUCCUGGACCGAGAUUGACGCUGAGGCGCGAAAGCUAGGGGAGCAAACGGG